GACGAACGCUGGCGGCGUGCCUAAUACAUGCAAGUAGAACGCUGAAGCGAGGAGCUUGCUCUUCUUGGAUGAGUUGCGAACGGGUGAGUAACGCGUAGGUAACCUGCCUUGUAGCGGGGGAUAACUAUUGGAAACGAUAGCUAAUACCGCAUAACAAUGGAUGACACAUGUCAUUUAUUUGAAAGGGGCAAUUGCUCCACUACAAGAUGGACCUGCGUUGUAUUAGCUAGUAGGUGAGGUAAUGGCUCACCUAGGCGACGAUACAUAGCCGACCUGAGAGGGUGAUCGGCCACACUGGGACUGAGACACGGCCCAGACUCCUACGGGAGGCAGCAGUAGGGAAUCUUCGGCAAUGGGGGCAACCCUGACCGAGCAACGCCGCGUGAGUGAAGAAGGUUGUCGGAUCGUAAAGCUCUGUUGUAAGCCAAGAACGGGUGUGAGAGUGGAAAGUUCACACUGUGACGGUAGCUUACCAGAAAGGGACGGCUAACUACGUG
rnacentral:rRNA from 1 species